ACCUUCGUGGUGUAAAGGUAGCACACUCGGCUUGUGUUCGAGAGGUCCGAGGUUCGAGUCCCGAUGAGGAAA
rnacentral:tRNA from 1 species